UACAGAGGGGGCAAGCGUUGUUCGGAAUUACUGGGCGUAAAGCGUAUGCAGGCGGACCGUUAAGUCGGAGGUGAAAUCCCAGGGCUCAACCCUGGAACUGCCUUCGAUACUGGCGGCCUUCGAGUCCGGGAGAGGUGAGUGGAACUCCGAGUGUAGAGGUGAAAUUCGUAGAUAUUCGCAAGAACACCAGUGGCGAAGGCGGCUCACUGGCCCGAUACUGACGCUGAGGCACGAAAGCGUGGGGAGCAAACAGG
rnacentral:rRNA from 1 species